rnacentral:rRNA from 1 species
AACGUAGGUUCCGAGCGUUAUCCGGAUUUACUGGGCGUAAAGCGCGUUCAGGCGGUUUGGCAAGUCGGGCAUGAAAUCUCCCGGCUCAACUGGGAGGGUGCGCCGAAGACUGGAAGGCUUGAGUAUGGGAGAGGUAAGCGGAAUUCCUGGUGUAGCGGUGAAAUGCGUAGAUAUCAGGAGGAACACCUGCGGUGUAGACGGCUUACUGGACCAUAACUGACGCUGAGGCACGAAAGCGUGGGUAGCAAACAGG